rnacentral:lncRNA from 1 species
CCUGACACCAACUAAGGUCCGGCCAUUCGAGACCUGAUAAGAAAGAAGAGAACCUUCUCGACGGCCCUUCUACGCUACCGCGACCCCGUAAAAGGCUAGGGAGAACCCCUGCUUAAAAAGGAGGAAGAUGUGAAAGAAAAGCGACGGACUACACCAGCGAAAAAUGGAGGCCAAACUAUACCAAAGACACAAAGGACCUCAUCUCCACGAAGGAGAAAGAGAAAGAGAGACCUAUGAUCACGAACGAAAAGGCGAACCAACGCGGCAACGGCUAGGAACCUUCGGACGAUGUCGAUGUCGAACAAACCAAAAAAUACAAGAAAUUCGAUAAUGAUGAUCUAAUACAAAGAUGAAUAAGGAACCUUCGGCCAACAUCGACAUCGAGCGGGACAAAAAAUGAAGGAAGUCCGACGGACGACAAUUCAACACGAUGCCCGGGCAAGGUAACAAAGAUCUUCUUUUCAUUUCGUUAGCAAAACAUGCGUUACAGAGCCCAGAAGGCCAAAAAAAAAAAUAAACAAAAACAAAAACAAACAAACGGCAAAGGAAGACACAUAGAGGGACGAAAGGCAAAAAGAGCCCUAAGGGGGCCCGGCUUCUUCCGACUUCGAACUUUCGGCUUCGACCCUCAUCAGGGAGUGCCUUAAGCUCUUGACUUCUUCUUCUAAUUCUUUCUCCCUCAUUAGCAUCUCCAUAUACCUCCGAUGAGACUGUUGGCUUUCAUUCUCCGCCUCUCGGAGCCUCUUUCUCAGGACCUUAGAUUAUGCCUCUGCAUCCUUGACUGCCUGCUGCUCGUAUACCAGCUGGAUCUUCAACUACUGCAGCUCGGCCUUCCCCUCCCCAAGGGUGACAGAUAGCUCCUCUAUGGUUCCUCUCAGGGAUUGGAGUUCGUCGGGAUCUCAAGCAGGAGCAAACUAAGCUCCUUCAGCUAACUGCCUUUGAAGGCGGGCAACCUCGUCGGUCGCCAUCCUGAGCUUCCCCCUAUAGUCGUCCACCUGCUUGCACCAGCUGGCCCGGUACGCAUUAUAGUUCGCCUCGACAUCCUGGAGCUGUUGCUGAAGGUCGGAGAACUUCUUCAACCAUUCUUGGUCGCAGUCGGCCCGAGUCGAAAGCCAGGACGAGCUUCUUUCCAACUGGCUGAUCUUCUCCUGCACAGUCGAUAGCUCCACUCUGAGAGAGCUGAUCUUGGAAGCUUGAGCCCAAGAUCAGUCGCUGGCGCGCUUCUUGUGUUCCUCGAGCUCCUUCUCGAAGUUCGCCUUCCUCCGACUGUACUCCAUGAUCCCCUUCACGUGGAGGUUCCGAAAGUAGGUGGCCUCCACAGUGGCCUCAGAGUGGCUCUCCCUCAACCCGUGAAGUUCGUUCUCCAUCUCCUUCGACCUUUUUGUUAAAUGACGAACUCUCUUCCUCAGAUGUUGGAUCGUGGACUUCAGUGGAACUCCCUGUGGCAAGGGAAGUGCUUCGACAGGAUGAUGCCAUCGGGGGAUAAAAGCAUCAAGGUGCGACUCAUUGCAGAAAGAAAAAAGAAAAGAGUAGAGAAACCCCCCAUAAGGAGAAACCCAAUUUUAUUAAUUGAAUGUUUCCUAAAGACAAAAGGGAAAAGAAAAAUCACAGUAAAAGAAAAAUAUAAAGUCAGAGGUCUCAGACCUCCGAAGUAGGAGUUAGGGAGCUCGGUGUUCUUGGAAGGGGGGC